CCUACGGGAGGCAGCAGUAGGGAAUCUUGCACAAUGGGGGAAACCCUGAUGCAGCAACGCCGCGUGCGUGAUGAAGUAUUUCGGGAUGUAAAGCUCUAUCAGCAGGGAAGAAGAUGACGGUAACUGAGGAAGAAGCCCCGGCUAACUACGUGCCAGCAGCCGCGGUCAUACGUAGGAGGCAAGCAUUAUCCGGAUUUACUGGGUGUAAAGGGAGCGUAGACGGGUAGACAAGACUGAAGUGAAAGCCCGGGGCUCAACCCAGGGACUGUUUUGGAAACUGUCUGACUGGAGUGCUGGAGAGGCAAGCGGAAUUCCUAGUGUAGAGGUGAAAUGCGUAGAUAUUAGGAAGAACACCAGUGGCGAAGGCGGCUUGCUGGACAGUAACUGACGUUGAGGCUCGAAAGCGUGGGGAGCAAACAGGAUUAGAUACCCUAGUAGUC
rnacentral:rRNA from 1 species